rnacentral:misc_RNA from 1 species
GUAGGUGAACCUGCGGAAGGAUCAUUUAAGUUUUUAUUUCUGUCUCUUUGGGGGUGGGGGGUUUAGGCCUUUCAUUUUCAGAGAGUUCAGAAUAAAUGAGAGUAUGUGGUACUAAUGACAUUUUCAAAGAGGAGAAUCUGGGGCCCCUUUUUAACUAAAGGUGGCAACAUUUUCUUCUUUUAUGAAAACCCAUUUUUUACAACCCAUUAACCAAGGUUACUAUUCUUUAUUAACCAAAAACUAAGUAGAAGUUGGGGUCUAUUUUUGUUUCUUUUUUAAUUAAAAAGAUCAAAAUGUGUACAACAAUGGAUAUUUAAAACAACAUAACAACACACAACUGUCAACGGUGGAUCUCUUGGCUCGU